UGGCUUUGUUAUUCACUAAGGGUAAGGUGGAGCUUUCAGAGGUUAGAAUUUCCUGCCCUACCUGGAUAGUUGGAGCUGUCUCCUACCACAUGCUACCAAAAGCACAACAAAGAAAAGAAAAUCACAGCAGGUUCCAGCGUAGUUCCUGAAGCAACAAUAGACGUAUUGAAAGUCUCAUGAAACCAAAACCAAAAAAGCAGUCCGCCUUCCAACUGAGAACCCAGGAUAAUGUCGAACUAUAACCUCCAAACAUUGAAGAUGCAGUAAAGGCUGUGCCAUAAUACACCUGAAUGGAAAGGAAACUAGACGAUAUGAUCACAAACUGGUAUCCAAAAUGUUCCUGAAAAUUGUUUAAAGAAAAAGAAAAA